GACGAACGCUGGCGGCGUGCUUAACACAUGCAAGUCGAACGGAAAGGCUCCAGCUUGCUGGAGUACUCGAGUGGCGAACGGGUGAGUAACACGUGGGUGAUCUGCCCUGCACUUCGGGAUAAGCCUGGGAAACUGGGUCUAAUACCGGAUAGGACCGCACUUUGGUGUGUGUGGUGGAAAGGUUUUUCUGGUGUGGGAUGAGCUCGCGGCCUAUCAGUUUGUUGGUGGGGUAAUGGCCUACCAAGACGGCGACGGGUAGCCGGCCUGAGAGGGUGGACAGUCACAUUGAGACUGAGAUACGGCCCAGACUCCUACGGGAGGCAGCAGUGGGGAAUAUUGCGCAAUGGGGGAGACCCUGAUGCAGCGACGCCGCGUGGGGGAUGAAGGCCUUCGGGUUGUAAACUCCUUUCGCUAGGGACGAAGCUUUUUGUGACGGUACCUGGAGAAGAAGCACCGGCUAACUACGUG
rnacentral:rRNA from 1 species